GCAGGCGGUUGCUAAGCCAAACAAAAACCCUGCUUAGCUCACUGCUAAUUGGGCCCCAGACUGUAGCCUGGAGCUGCGUCUACAAUAGAUACCCUGGCUCCCCUCCUUGAUCCCUGCCUUAAAGAAACACUCUCCAAUUUCUCCAUCACCCUUAGAGCUUCCCCAGAUUCGCAGAACUCUGGGCUGAGGGUGAGGAGUUUGAACAGAAACCUGGGAAUGGUAACGCUGAUUCCAAAAAAUCUGGACCUUAUCAAGAUCGAACGAGCCAUGGCCAGCUUUCUGAUACGAGGGAAGGUUAGUCAAAACAUGCAUUCAGUUUCCUCAACUGUAAUCCAGGAAUGAUAACAGUUCCUACCUCAAGUGACGGGACUUCGUGAGAGUUACACUCAUCGAUACAUGCAUGGAAGCUGGCACAGAGCCUUGAGCAGGAAAGAGAUAUUCCAGAUGUGGAAGCCAAGCAAAGGAAUCAUUACCGAUCACACUUAAGCUGUUCCGGGAAAGAUCAAGCAUGGUGAGAUUUGUCUGCUUUAGUCCAAUGAAAGUCGUGUUGCUGGCUCUGUACAG